rnacentral:rRNA from 1 species
AUUGAACGCUAGCGGGAUGCUUAACACAUGCAAGUCGAACGAGUGGCGGACGGGUGAGUAAUAUCUCGGAACGUGCCCAAUAGAGGGGGAUAACUACUGGAAAGGGUAGCUAAUACCGCAUACUAUUGGAUCUGCCCAGAUCGGAUUAGCUGGUUGGUGGGGUAAAGGCUCACCAAGGCGACGAUCCCUAGCUGGUUUGAGAGGACGACCAGCCACACUGGAACUGAGACACGGCCCAGACUCCUACGGGAGGCAGCAGUGGGGAAUUUUGGACAAUGGGGGCAACCCUGAUCCAGCCAUGCCGCGUGUAUGAAGAAGGCCCUAGGGUUGUAAAGUACUUUCAGCCGGGAGGCGUUACCGACAGAAGAAGCACCGGCUAACUCCGUGCCAGCAGCCGCGGUAAUUC